CCUUAUCAAGAGUGACGGAGGGAACAGGCCCGAUGAUGUCCGGCAACCUACAAUAUUUGUAAAGGUGCCAAAUCCUGCGGUAAAGCCGAGAGAUGAGG
rnacentral:ncRNA from 1 species